UACGUAGGGUGCGAGCGUUAAUCGGAAUUACUGGGCGUAAAGCGUGCGCAGGCGGUUUUGUAAGCCGGAUGUGAAAUCCCCCGGGCUUAACCUGGGAAUGGCAUUCGGGACUGCAAGGCUGGAGUGCGGCAGAGGAGACUGGAAUUCCCGGUGUAGCGGUGAAAUGCGCAGAUAUCAGGAGGAACACCGAUGGCGAAGGCAGGUCUCUGGGCCACUACUGACGCUGAGAAGCGAAAGCGUGGGGAGCGAACAGG
rnacentral:rRNA from 1 species